rnacentral:lncRNA from 10 species
AGCUUGAUGGCCUGUGGCAUUGCUCUCUGGCGGAAAUUCCUCCUUAGUCCCAGAGGGAUCUUUUUUAUAGCAGAGCAGGCAUCUGUGUGGCUUUUGAGACUUGGAUCUGGCCUGGGUCUUCCGAUAAGUCUUUCUGCCUGCUCCCAGGUUCAUCAGCCCUUAAACUGAUGGAUGGGUGGGGUGGGAGGUGAUGCUGUGGCCUGGCUGUGGAUGUGCAAGUCCAGGCUCUGCCACGUGUUAGCUGAGUGACUUUAGGACAGGCUGCGGGAGGAGCUGCAGGACUGAGGUACAGAGGCCAGGGGCCCAGGGCAGGACCCAGCCUGGACUUGACUCCCUGGGAUCCCAGGAAGGGCACACCCUUUCCUCACCACCCGAGUGAGCGCUGCCCCCUCACAGAGACCUCUUUGCCCCCUGGGCCAGGCAGAGCAGGCGCUGCGGUCCGGGAGGCCCCAUGGAGGUGGCGGUGCCCGUGAAGCAGGAGGCCGAGGGCCUGGCGCUGGACUCCCCGUGGCACCGCUUCCGCCGCUUCCACCUGGGCGACGCGCCGGGCCCGCGGGAGGCGCUGGGGCUGCUCCGCGCCCUGUG